UGUUACGAUCAGAGGAAACAAUAAGAUGCUCGGUGUAGUUUUUGUUUUUAAUGCUUUGCUUCAUGUUUAAUGAAAGAUUUAACAAAAGAUUUUUCACGCUCUGCUGUCCUUAACCCCUCUCUCACCCCCUCUCUCUCACCCCCUCUCUCUCUACCCUUUCUCUCUCUCUACCCCCUCUCUCCCUACUCUAUGUCGAUGUUCCCCCUGUUUUCUAUGUGUAUAUUUAGAAUUUUAACUACGACAAGUUCUGCAACUGCACCCAGCCCUCCUCGCAGUGCUACGGCCUCUGACGCCCCCCUCCUGCCGCAGUCUCCUCCCGGCGAUCUCGGCGGCCUCCGUCGUGGCGACGGAGUCAUCGUCAUCGUCAUCGUCGUCAGCGUCAUCAGCAUCAUCAGCAUCAUCAGCGUCAUCAGCGUCGGCGGGGACCAUGCUGGGCCUGUGGCUGCUGACGGACCGGCGGAUCUACUCGGACUACCCGCAGCGCGAGAUCGAGCGAGCCCUCGCUCAGCGGUGCCAGCGACAUCACGUCGCCUUCCGCCUCGUCUUCAUGGACGACCUCGUGCUCACCGUGGAGGACGGGCGGCUCGGCCUGCGCAUGCACGGCGAGGCGGUGUGCCAGCUGCCGUGCGUGGCGCUGGUGCACGUGUAGCUCAGUGUGUGUGUCUGUGUGUCUUUGUGUGUGUCUCUGUGUGUCUUUGU